UCUAACCUAAUGAUGACUCCAUAGUUCAUCUGAGACACCUUGAUGUAUAACACUCAUGUCUUUCGCUCCUAUCUGAUUCAAAAUUAUA
rnacentral:snoRNA from 1 species